AGGCGACGAUCCCUAGCUGGUCUGAGAGGAUGACCAGCCACACUGGAACUGAGACACGGUCCAGACUCCUACGGGAGGCAGCAGUGGGGAAUAUUGCACAAUGGGCGCAAGCCUGAUGCAGCCAUGCCGCGUGUAUGAAGAAGGCCUUCGGGUUGUAAAGUACUUUCAGCGGGGAGGAAGGUGUUGAGGUUAAUAACCUCAGCAAUUGACGUUACCCGCAGAAGAAGCACCGGCUAACUCCGUGCCAGCAGCCGCGGUAAUACGGAGGGUGCAAGCGUUAAUCGGAAUUACUGGGCGUAAAGCGCACGCAGGCGGUCUGUCAAGUCGGAUGUGAAAUCCCCGGGCUCAACCUGGGAACUGCAUUCGAAACUGGCAGGCUAGAGUCUUGUAGAGGGGGGUAGAAUUCCAGGUGUAGCGGUGAAAUGCGUAGAGAUCUGGAGGAAUACCGGUGGCGAAGGCGGCCCCCUGGACAAAGACUGACGCUCAGGUGCGAAAGCGUGGGGAGCAAACAGGAUUAGAU
rnacentral:rRNA from 1 species